CCUUGUCCUUGCCUGUUCGUCUAGUAUUCUAAAUCAUGUUUAAGAAAACUAAAAGAAAAAAAACCACAUUUGUUGUUUGUUUAUCAACUUAUUAGACUACUGCCUCAUUUAGGCUUUUUAUUAUUUUAUUUUUCGUUUGUUUAUUGUUCUUGUUAGCCAAUAAGUUAGUCAGUAGUAAUAAUCAGUCCAAUCCGAGUUCGUAACUGUCUCAAACGAGUCUUUGUGGUAUUUUAUAUUCUUUCUUUUGUUAUUCUUCCUUUCUUCUUCUUCAUAAUUGUUUUCUUAUUCAGUUUACAAGAUUUAGGAUUUUCAGUGUUCCAGUUUUAUGUGUUUGUUCAUCUUGAUUAUUUUAAUAUGAAUUGGCUUGUUUUAGUAGUUUCAUUGCAUGAAAUUCCUGCCGAUUCCAUCAAUUUGAUUCAUGUUAGGGUUUAGUUUAAUUUAGGUUUUCUGAUGCUUAAUAUUGUAGGAUUAAAUUGCACUAUUUUAUUGUUUGAUUGUUGUUUUGAUUUGAUUUCGGUUAAUUGUUGGCCCUGUCCCUGUUUGCUUGAUUUGAAUAUCACUAGAAACUUGUAAGGGUCUAAUUGAACUAAAAAAAACUUAUGAUGAUUUUCAGAAAUUUUAGAAGAAAAUAUCUAGGAGAAGGAAGGUUCUAAAAGUAUACCAGCUAUCCAGAAUUAUUUAAAAUAUGCUGAAAAAUGGACAGUUGUCCAUUAUUCUCUGUUAAAUAUGUUGUACUAUCUAAGGAAUUUAGGGUAGAAUAUUUAUUUGAUGCUAUUUUGGAUAUACACUAUAAAAAGAAAGUCAUUCACUCAUUCUCACACACACACUCAGCAGCAUACAGACCUGAAAAUCGACUAAAACAAAAAAUUCAGCUUCCAGUUUUCCUAUUUUUCUUUCUUUUACAAAAAUCUGGAAGGAAUUUUCUUUGAGUUAUGGUUUCGUGAGCUAAGUUAUGAACUGAUACUGAAGCUGUGGUAGAUAUAUACUACUGUUCCUGGAGUUGUUGGACUUCAUCUUCUUUUUUCAGAACAUUAUUUGAUUACUUUUUGUUAUUCCUUUGCAAGUUAGUAAUGUUAGCAGGGUAAUUUAAUCCUAACUGAUUGCUCUGUUCAUAGCCAAUUUGGUUUAAGAGGAUAUCCCAAUGGUUAUUCCUUUGUGAAUCAAGAAAUGGUUUGGAAAUAAGAAGGACAGUCAGCCAGAGACAGCUUGUUCCCAUAGAAGCUCAUAGAAAGGGGUUUAGAAUUAAUUAGAUAUUAUUUGUAUAAUGUGGUUCAUUGUAUUAGUUUUUUCCCAUCUUCAUGUCAUAGUUUAUUGAAAUUAAAGUAUGAAUAUAACCAAUUUUUGUACGUUAAAGUGGAUAGGAUUUUAAACUGACUUUGUAAAACAAUUUAAUCUCUCAUAAUUGUUGUCAUAUGCAUAUUGGGUUUAAGCCACUGUUUAA